GCUGUGUGUAAGGUGUUUAACGCCAAGAGCAAGCUUGUUCACUUGUGUGUGGAUGGUGUUCAGCACCAAGGACAGAUAUGUUCGCUA
rnacentral:pre_miRNA from 1 species